AAUAGAUACCCGGGUAGUCCACGCCGUAAACGAUGAGUGCUAAGUGUUAGAGGGUUUCCGCCCUUUAGUGCUGCAGCUAACGCAUUAAGCACUCCGCCUGGGGAGUACGGUCGCAAGACUGAAACUCAAAGGAAUUGACGGGGGCCCGCACAAGCGGUGGAGCAUGUGGUUUAAUUCGAAGCAACGCGAAGAACCUUACCAGGUCUUGACAUCCUCUGACAACUCUAGAGAUAGAGCGUUCCCCCUUCGGGGGGACAGAGUGACAGGUGGUGCAUGGUUGUCGUCAGCUCGUGUCGUGAGAUGUUGGGUUAAGUCCCGCAACGAGCGCAACCCUUGAUUCUUAGUUGCCAGCUAUUUAGGUUGGGCACUCGUAAGGUGACUGCCGGUGAACCGAAACCGGGAGGAAGGUGGGGAUGACGUCAAAUCAUCAUCGCCCCUUUAUGACCGUGGGCUACACACGUGCUACAAUGGAUGGUAACGAAAGGGCUGCAAGCCGCGAGGUCAAGCCAAUCCCAAUAAAACCAUUCUCAGUUCGGAUUGU
rnacentral:rRNA from 1 species